ACCUGAAGAGAGUCUGUGAGUAGACCUGAAGAGAGUUCAGCAGGGUUACUAGUUCAUCUCUCAGGAUGGAGAACAUGAGAGAUUUGGAUGAUGAGGAGGAGGACAAAUCUUCAGUGUCCAGAAAACCUCCAGAUUUGAGUAAUACACUUGGAGCAUCUGACACAAGACAGAGAGCAGAGUCUCCAGUCCCCAGCUGUCUGUCUCUGAAGAGUGACUGGUCUAUGAGUCAACCUCUCUACUUCAGUAAUGA